rnacentral:rRNA from 1 species
GAUGAACGCUGGCGGCGUGCCUAAUACAUGCAAGUCGAGCGAACAGAUGAGGAGCUUGCUCCUCUGACGUUAGCGGCGGACGGGUGAGUAACACGUGGAUAACCUACCUAUAAGACUGGGAUAACUUCGGGAAACCGGAGCUAAUACCGGAUAAUAUCUUGAACCGCAUGGUUCAAUAGUGAAAGACGGUUUUGCUGUCACUUAUAGAUGGAUCCGCGCCGCAUUAGCUAGUUGGUAAGGUAACGGCUUACCAAGGCAACGAUGCGUAGCCGACCUGAGAGGGGGAUCGGCCACACGGGAACUGAGACACGGUCCAGACUCCUACGGGAGGCAGCAGUAGGGAAUCGUCCGCAAUGGGCGAAAGCCUGACGGAGCAACGCCGCGUGAGUGAUGAAGGUCUUCGGAUCGUAAAACUCUGUUAUUAGGGAAGAACAAAUGUGGAAGUAACUAUGCACGGCUUGACGGUACCUAAUCAGAAAGCCACGGCUAACUACGUG